rnacentral:rRNA from 1 species
AUUGAACGCUGGCGGCAGGCCUAACACAUGCAAGUCGAACGAGUGGCGGACGGGUGAGUAAUGUCUGGGAAACUGCCUGAGGGAGGGGGAUAACUACUGGAAACGGUAGCUAAUACCGCAUACCAUCAGAUGUGCCAAGAUGGGAUUAGCUAGUUGGUGGGGUAACGGCUCACCAAGGCGACGAUCCCUAGCUGGUCUGAGAGGAUGACCGGCCACACUGGAACUGAGACACGGUCCAGACUCCUACGGGAGGCAGCAGUGGGGAAUAUUGCACAAUGGGCGAAAGCCUGAUGCAGCAACGCCGCGUGUAUGAAGAAGGGUUUCGGGUUGUAAAGUACUUUUAGCGGGGAAGCGGUACCCGCAGAGGAAGCACCGGCUAACUCCGUGCCAGCAGCCGCGGUAAUUC